UACGUAGGGGGGCAAGCGUUAUCCGGAUUUAUUGGGCGUAAAGAGCGUGUAGGCGGUUUGGUAGGUCCGCUGUGAAAACUCGAGCUCAACCUCGAGACGCCGGUGGAAACCAUCAGACUAGAGUCCGGAAGAGGAGAGUGGAAUUCCGUGGUGUAGCGGUGAAAUGCGCAGAUAUCAGGGAAAGAAACACCCCGUGGCUAAGGCGGCUCUCUAGUACGGUACUGACGCUGAGACGCGAAAAGCGUGGGGAGCGAACAGG
rnacentral:rRNA from 1 species